CGCCUUUGGCGGGCGGGCCUAAACAUGCAGUCCAGCGGAUGAGAAGAGCUUGCUCUUCGAUUCAUGGGGGACGGGUGAGUAAUACCUAGGAAUCUGCCUGGUACUGGGGGACAACGUUUCCAACGGAACGCUAAUACCGCAUACGUCCUACGGGAGAAAGCAGGGGACCUUCGGGCCUUGCGCUAUCAGAUGAGCCUAGGUCGGAUUAGCUAUUUGGUGAGGUAAUGGCUCACCAAGGCUACGAUCCGUAACUGGUCUGAGAGGAUGAUCAUUCACACUGGAACUGAAACACGGUCCAGACUCCUACGGGAGGCAGCAGUGGGGAAUAUUGGACAAUGGGCGAAAGCCUGAUCCAGCCAUGCCGCGUGUGUGAAAAAGGUCUUCGGAUUGUAAAGCACUUUAAGUUGGGAGGAAGGGCAGUAAGCGAAUACCUUGCUGUUUUGACGUUACCGACAGAAUAAGCACCGGCUAACUCUGUGCCAGCACCCGCGGUAAUACAGAGGGUGCAAGCGUUAAUCGGAAUUACUGGGCGUAAAGCGCGCGUAGGUGGUUCGUUAAGUUGGAUGUGAAAUCCCCGGGCUCAACCUGGGAACUGCAUCCAAAACUGGCGAGCUAAAUUAGGGCAAAGGGUGGUGGAAUUUCCUGUGUAGCGGUGAAAUGCGUAGAUAUAGGAAGGAACACCAGGGGCGAAGGCGACCACCUGGGCUCAUACUGACACUGAGGUGCGAAAGCGUGGGGAGCAAACAGGAUUAGAUACCUUGGUAAUCCACGCCGUAAACGAUGUCAACUAGCCGUGGGAUUCUUUUGAGAUUUUAGCGGCGCACCUAACGCAUUAAUUUGACCGCCUGGGGUAGUACGGCCUCAAGGUUAAAAUUCAAAUUAAUUGACGGGGGCCCGCACCACCCGUGGAGCUUGUGGUUUUAUUUCAAAAUCAACCG
rnacentral:rRNA from 1 species